rnacentral:tRNA from 1 species
AUUUAUAUAGUUUAAAGUAAAACCUUACAUUUUCAUUGUAAAAUUAAAAUUCAAUUUUUAUAAAUA